UAGCCUGCUAAAUAGGCGGCGCGACGGCGUCGGGGCGCCUUCUUAGAGGGACUUGGCACGCUUAGUGGCAGGAAGCUUGAGGCAAUAACAGGUCUGUGAUGCCCUUAGAUGUUCUGGGCUGCACGCGCGCUACACUGACAAAGACAGCAAGUGUACAACCUCGGCCGGAAGGCCCGGGCAAUCUCGAAGCUUUGUCGUGCUGGGGAUAGACCAUUGCAAUUGUUGGUCUUCAACGAGGAAUUCCUAGUAAGCGCGAGUCAUCAGCUCGCGCUGAUUACGUCCCUGCCCUUUGUACACACCGCCCGUCGCU
rnacentral:rRNA from 1 species